rnacentral:rRNA from 1 species
UGGGGAAUAUUGCACAAUGGGCGAAAGCCUGAUGCAGCAACGCCGCGUGAGCGAUGAAGGUUUUCGGAUCGUAAAGCUCUGUCGCAUGGGAAGAUAAUGACGGUACCAUGUGAGGAAGCCCCGGCUAACUACGUGCCAGCAGCCGCGGUAAUACGUAGGGGGCAAGCGUUAUCCGGAAUUACUGGGCGUAAAGGGUGCGUAGGUGGUCUGCCAAGUUAGAGGUCAAAGGCAACGGCUCAACCGUUGUUCGCCCCUAAAACUGGCGGACUUGAGUUCUGGAGGGGAAAGCGGAAUUCCUAGUGUAGCGGUGAAAUGCGUAGAUAUUAGGAGGAACACCAGUGGCGAAGGCGGCUUUCUGGACAGAUACUGACACUGAGGCACGAAAGCGUGGGUAGCAAACAGG